rnacentral:other from 1 species
AUUCUCUGCGUAGGGUACAGAGGUUAAGAUGUUCUAUCUUUCAGACCUUUUUAAUUCGCUAAUUAUAGUGAAUAGCCAAAUUAUGGCGCCUCAGCAACUUAGUUUGCUGGGGCUUUUUUU